UACGUAGGGUGCGAGCGUUAAUCGGAAUUACUGGGCGUAAAGCGUGCGUAGGCGGUUUUUUAAGACAGAGGUGAAAUCCCCGGGCUCAACCUGGGAACUGCCUUUGUGACUGCAAGGCUUGAGUGCGGCAGAGGGGGAUGGAAUUCCGCGUGUAGCAGUGAAAUGCGUAGAUAUGCGGAGGAACACCGAUGGCGAAGGCAAGCCCCUGGGCCUGCACUGACGCUCAUGCACGAAAGCGUGGGGAGCAAACAGG
rnacentral:rRNA from 1 species